rnacentral:rRNA from 1 species
AUUGAACGCUGGCGGCAGGCUUAACACAUGCAAGUCGAGCGGGGUGAUGGUGCUUGCACUAUCACUUAGCGGCGGACGGGUGAGUAAUGCUUAGGUAUCUGCCUAUUAGUGGGGGACAACAUCUCGAAAGGGAUGCUAAUACCGCAUACGUCCUACGGGAGAAAGCAGGGGAUCACUUGUGACCUUGCGCUAAUAGAUGAGCCUAAGUCGGAUUAGCUAGUUGGUAGGGUAAAGGCCUACCAAGGCGACGAUCUGUAGCGGGUCUGAGAGGAUGAUCCGCCACACUGGGACGGAGACACGGCCCAGACUCCUACGGGAGGCAGCAGUGGGGAAUAUUGGACAAUGGGGGGAACCCUGAUCCAGCCAUGCCGCGUGUGUGAAGAAGGCCUUAUGGUUGUAAAGCACUUUAAGCGAGGAGGAGGCUCUUUUGGUUAAUACCCAAGAUGAGUGGACGUUACUCGCAGAAUAAGCACCGGCUAACUCUGUGCCAGCAGCCGCGGUAA